GCUGGGUGCGGUUGCAUGUUCCUGUAAUCCAAGUCACUGGGAGGCUGAGGUUGGUGGAUCAAGUGAACUGAGUAGCUCUGGGCUGCAGCACACUAUGUCGAACGGGUGUCCACGCUAAGUUCGGUAUCGAUAUGGUGAUCCUGGGGGAGCCCGGGACCACCAGGUUGUCUAAGGAGGGGUGAACCGGCCCAGGUCGGAAACGAAGCAGGUCAAAUCCCCCGUGCUGUCCAGUAGUGGGAUAAUACCUGUGAGUAGAUGCUGCAGUGCAGCCUUGGCAAAACAUCGAGACCUAAUCUUUU
rnacentral:SRP_RNA from 1 species